UACAGAGGAGCCAAGCGUUGUCCGGAUUGACUGGGCGUAAAGCGCACGCAGGCGGACGCGCGCGUGGGGUGUGAAAUCUGGCCGCUUAACGGCCAGGGGCCAUCCCCAUACGGCGGGUCUGGAGCGAUGCAGAGGUCGGUGGAAUUUCCGGUGGAGCGGUGAAAUGCGUAGAGAUCGGAAAGAACACCAACGGCGAAAGCACUCUGCUGGGCCGACACUGACACUGAGAGACGAAAGCUAGGGGAGCGAAUGGG
rnacentral:rRNA from 1 species